AACAAAUCAGUAAUCAGCACUCCUUCAUGUAUCAUAAGUAUCUAUCUACCAGCAUUCAUGUGUAUCCUGGUAACUGUCAAUCACCACUGUGUCCUGAUGGGGUAUGCAGUGGUUAAUUCUCAUGACUCUCACCACUGCCUCCUGAAGGGAUACAAACCAGUUGAUUUUUAUAACUAAUCACAAUUUUUUUCAGAUGGAGUACAGAGCAGUUCAUUUAUAUAAUUGACUCUCUAUCGCCAGUCUCCAGAUAGGGUAAGUAGAACCUGCCCAUCCCUCACCUUGGACCAGGCGUAGUGCAUGGUUGGGUUGCGGUUGAUGUCCAGAUGUCCCAGAGCCCAGAUGAUCAUGGCCUCACCACUGUCUGGGUACGGGAUGUCCCCUGGGUCAGCUGUGGACAGGAUGCAUAUCUUACUGACCAUACAACAAGAGUUGUUAUAUGAAUGGGAGACUGACGAAGAAAUAUAAAACACAGUAGGAGCAAUUCUCUGAGUGGCCCAGGGGUGUAGCUGUUAGUGUGUUGCUCCAAUCAAGAUAUCCCAGGUUCUUAUCCCAGGCCUGGCAUACACCAAAGCUGAGACACUGGUACCUUCUUUCCCAGCAAAGUGGAAGGCAAGUCUAGCAAUCCUUCCCUCCUGUGUGGGUGAUGUUUUGAGUGUGGAUAACUGUGAAUGCAUGAGUGUGAAUGAUAAACAAGUUGAAAAUAUAAAAUGAUAGAUGAAAACGGAUUAAUUUGCUACCAAGAAACCUCAUCACUGCACCUCUGUUAUCACCAGCAAUAUUGCACCAAUGAACUUCAGAUAAAGAGAGAGCCAUGUUCUCAGCUCACUUCUGAAGAGUGUGAGGCAGACUGGAGGAACACUUACGGGUGGUGAGUCUGCGUCUG